GCGGAAGCUUGGCAAGUCUGGGCAGAGAGAAAGAAGGCGACCGCGGGCUGGAUCUCAGCACCCCCACCUAGGUGCCAGGCUGGCUGCCGUCCUUGUGAACUUAGUUGAGGAUGACCAAAAAUAUCGGGGACGAUGGGGGAGGUGAUGACAACACAUUCAACUUUAGCUGGAAGGUAUUCACCAGCUGGGACUACCUGAUUGGCAAUCCGGAAACAGCAGACAACAAAUUCAAUUCUAUCACCAUGAACUUUAAGGAAGCAAUCAUAGAGGAAAGAGCAGCCCAAGUAGAAGAAAACGUUCACUUGAUCAGAUUCCUGAGGUUUCUUGCUAACUUCUUCGUGUUUCUAACACUUGGCGGGAGUGGAUACCUCAUCUUCUGGGCUGUGAAGCGAUCCCAGGAAUUUGCAC